AGCCCGGUAGCUCGUCAGGCUCAUAACCUGAAGGCCGCAGGUUCAAAUCCUGCCCCCGCAA
rnacentral:tRNA from 1 species